rnacentral:rRNA from 1 species
GACGAACGCUGGCGGCGUGCUUAACACAUGCAAGUCGAACGGAAAGGCCCUGCUUUUGUGGGGUGCUCGGGUGGCGAAAGGGUGAGUAACACGUGUGUAACCUGCCUUUGACUUUGGGAUAACUUCAGGAAGCUGGGGCUAAUACCGGAUAGGAGCUCCUGCUGCAUGGUGGGGGUUGGAAAGUUUCGGCGGUUGGGGAUGGACUCGCGGCUUAUCAGCUUGUUGGUGGGGUAGUGGCUUGCCAAGGCUUUGACGGGUAGCCGGCCUGAGAGGGUGACCGGCCACAUUGGGACUGAGAUACGGCCCAGACUCCUACGGGAGGCAGCAGUGGGGAAUAUUGCACAAUGGGCGGAAGCCUGAUGCAGCAACGCCGCGUGCGGGAUGACGGCCUUCGGGUUGUAAACCGCUUUCGCCUGUGACGAAGCGUGAGUGACGGUAAUGGGUAAAGAAGCACCGGCUAACUACGUG